UAAAAGAAUGCUAUUCAUUGUUUUUUAAAGCAUUAAUUGUUGUUCAUUUCCCUGACUGCUCGCAGAAACAUUUUGCAUUUGUUGUUUUUCAUGUUUGCGGAAGAACUGCGCAAGAAUUUGUAUGAGAAGUAUGAAAUGAGGAAUAAGUGAUAGCAGAGGCCUAUUUCUUCUGCCCGACAAAUUUGUGCAAAUGUGGGCGGUGGAUUUUAUGCAUUUUCCAGCACCUGUUUGGCAUGGGCUUAGAAAAUCAAGUAGAUGUGCUUUCCACCUAGCAGCCUCUUCUGCAAUCUAGUCUUGUCAACAACAGGCCAUUUUCCAGCUCAUAGUCAGUUCAGGUAUUCUUUUCCUUUCUAAUUUUUGGAUUUAGUGAACUGGUUGUUUUUUAUGAUAAACUAGACUUAGAACAACAAAUAGAUGUGCCUUCCACCAAGCAGCCCCUGCAAUCUACUCUUGUCAACAACAGGCCAUUUCCCAGCUCAUAGUCAUUUCAGGCAUUCUUUUCCUUUCUAAUUUAUGGAUUUAGUGAAUUGGUUGAUUUUUUAUGACAAACUAGACUUAGAACAACAGAUAGAUGUGCCUUCCACAAACAACUUCUUUAACCUGCAGAUUACGUAUUUUCUCUUGCAGAUUUUGCAAACUCAGGUGAGUUUGCCUCACUUACAUUUAUAUUAUUUGCGUUUCUGCUUUAUACAUUGAUACUAUCGUACUGUCCCCUUUUAAAGUUUUUGACUCAUUUACCUAAAGGCCUUAGCCUAUAUUCACAUAUUUACAGAAAAAAGUGAUAAGAAAACAAAACACAAUUACAUUAAACUACUAUAUGACGAAAGCAAGAACAUUGAGGGGAAGGAGUAUCCCAUUUACACUGCUAAAUAAAAUCUAUACAUCAAUUCCAAUCGAUCAUUAAACUUUGUGUUAAAUUUUUAAGGUCAUUCUAAGAUUGUUGCUUUUUUUAUUAAGCUACUAAAAUGAAUUGCAUGAGGGAAAUUCAAUCGAUAGAAAUGGAAGAUGUAGAUAAAUAGAUGUAUAGAAAGGUAAAAGUUAAUCUGGGGUGUGGGAGUACUUAUCCCAAAUGCUUGGGCCUCUUCCUCCUUCCC